rnacentral:rRNA from 1 species
CCUACGGGAGGCAGCAGUAGGGAAUCUUCCGCAAUGGACGCAAGUCUGACGGAGCAACGCCGCGUGAGUGAAGAAGGUUUUCGGAUUGUAAAACUCUGUUGUUAGAGAAGAACAAGUGCUAGAGUAACUGUUAGCGCCUUGACGGUAUCUAACCAGAAAGCCACGGCUAACUACGUGCCAGCAGCCGCGGUAAUACGUAGGUGGCAAGCGUUGUCCGGAUUUAUUGGGCGUAAAGCGAGCGCAGGCGGUUCCUUAAGUCUGAUGUGAAAGCCCCCGGCUCAACCGGGGAGGGUCAUUGGAAACUGGGGAACUUGAGUGCAGAAGAGGAGAGUGGAAUUCCAUGUGUAGCGGUGAAAUGCGUAGAUAUAUGGAGGAACACCAGUGGCGAAGGCGACUCUCUGGUCUGUAACUGACGCUGAGGCUCGAAAGCGUGGGUAGCAAACAGGAUUAGAUACCCCAGUAGUC